GCCCCGAUAGUUCAAUGGCAGAACAACAGAAUCGUGGGUCUGAAGAUAGGAGUUCGAUCCUCCUUCGGGGCUCC
rnacentral:tRNA from 1 species